UCCGGUUUGUCACCGGCAGUCUCCUUAGAGUUCCCACCAUUACGUGCUGGCAACUAAGGACAAGGGUUGCGCUCGUUGCGGGACUUAACCCAACAUCUCACGACACGAGCUGACGACAGCCAUGCAGCACCUGUGUUCUGGUUCCCGAAGGCACUUCCGCAUCUCUGCAGAAUUCCAGACAUGUCAAGGCCAGGUAAGGUUCUUCGCGUUGCAUCGAAUUAAACCACAUACUCCACCGCUUGUGCAGGCCCCCGUCAAUUUCUUUGAGUUUUAAUCUUGCGACCGUACUCCCCAGGCGGCUCACUUAACGCGUUAGCUUCGCCACAGACGGGGUCGAUUCCGCCUACAGCAAGUGAGCACCGUUUACAGCUAGGACUAC
rnacentral:misc_RNA from 1 species